rnacentral:rRNA from 1 species
CCUACGGGAGGCAGCAGUGAGGAAUAUUGGUCAAUGGACGAGAGUCUGAACCAGCCAAGUAGCGUGAAGGAUGACUGCCCUAUGGGUUGUAAACUUCUUUUAUAAAGGAAUAAAACGAGGCACGUGUGCCUUUUUGCAUGUACUUUAUGAAUAAGGAUCGGCUAACUCCGUGCCAGCAGCCGCGGUAAUACGGAGGAUCCGAGCGUUAUCCGGAUUUAUUGGGUUUAAAGGGAGCGUAGAUGGGUUGUUAAGUCAGUUGUGAAAGUUUGCGGCUCAACCGUAAAAUUGCAAUGGAUACUGGCAUUCUUGAGUACAGUGGAGGUAGGCGGAAUUCGUGGUGUAGCGGUGAAAUGCUUAGAUAUCACGAAGAACCCCGAUUGCGAAGGCAGCUUACUAAACUGUGACUGACAUUGAUGCUCGAAAGUGUGGGUAUCAAACAGGAUUAGAUACCCCUGUAGUC